rnacentral:rRNA from 1 species
CACAUCCGCCCGGGUACUACGAGCAUAGCUUAAAACCCAAAGGACUUGGCGGUGCCUCAGACCCACCUAGAGGAGCCUGUUCUAGAACCGAUAAACCCCGUUAAACCUCACCACUUCUUGUUUUUCCCGCCUAUAUACCGCCGUCGUCAGCUUACCCCGUGAAGGCCUAAUAGUAAGCAAAAUUGGUACAUCCAAAAACGUCAGGUCGAGGUGUAGCGUAUGAAGUGGAAAGAAAUGGGCUACAUUUUCUAUAAACAGAAUACUACGAAUGGCACUCUGAAAACAUGCCUGAAGGUGGAUUUAGUAGUAAAAAGCAAAUAGUGUGUCCUUUUGAAUUAGGCUCUGAGGCGCGCACACACCGCCCGUCACUCUCCCCUCUCAACAUAAACCCAACAAACAAUUACUAAUAAUUUAACCUUAAACACGGGGAGGCAAGUCGUAACAUGGUAAGUGUACCGGAAGGUGCACUUGGAAUAAU